rnacentral:rRNA from 1 species
AUUGAACGCUAGCGGCAUGCUUAACACAUGCAAGUCGAACGGUAACAGGCCUAGCUUGCUAGGUGCUGACGAGUGGCGGACGGGUGAGUAACGCGUAGGAAUUUACCUUGUAGUNGGGGAUAACUUGGGGAAACCCAAGCUAAUACCGCAUAAGCCCUAAGGGGGAAAGCGUGGGACCGAAAGGCCACGUGCUAUGAGAUGAGCCUGCGUCGGAUUAGCUAGUUGGUAGGGUAAAGGCCUACCAAGGCGUAGAUCCGUAGCUGGUCUGAGAGGACGACCAGCCACACUGGGACUGAGACACGGCCCAGACUCCUACGGGAGGCAGCAGUGGGGAAUAUUGGACAAUGGGCGCAAGCCUGAUCCAGCAAUGCCGCGUGUGUGAAGAAGGCCUGCGGGUUGUAAAGCACUUUCGGUGGGGAGGAAGGCCUGAUGGUUAAUAGUCCUCAGA